CUGGGGUCUCAGGACAGGUGCUGUUACCGCGAAACAAUAGAAAUAUCAAGGUCUGUUCUCUGCAGCACGGCUGCUGUCCCCAUUGGAGAGCGAGGGGAUGGAUGGACCAGCGCCUUAAUGAGGGGUGUCUGACAGUGGGUCCCCAAAUCCUUGGUGGUUCAGAGGCUGGAGCAAGAGCUGGGGAAGCCAAACGGUGCAGGUGGGAAGCACAUCUGGAUACGCCAUCCUCUCAGAGUUAUCAUAGUUCAGGAGGUGUUAAAGUUGGUGUCGACACAUCCUCAUCUGUGGGGAGAUGCAAUGGGACCCUGAAAGACGCAGAGCUCCCAGGGCUGGGGCUGGCCCAAAAGAAAUAAAACCUGAAGCAGAAUGGAACCCUUAGGAGCCAUCCUCAGCAAAGCAGUGAGAUGAAUGUCGUGUACAAGUUAACGAGACUGGGAGGAGCUUGGAAAGAGAUAGUGGUUAAAAUGCUCAAGUGGCUGAAAGUCUUUUUGUGGAGACUCUUGCAGUGUCAGUUAUUAGCUGGUAUCUUAACUUACUGCUGAGAAACCAAAGCACAUUGCUAUGUCCAAAACUCCUCAAGUCCUGCUGGCCCCGAGGAUCACACCCAGCUCUGGCUCUGCAUUGUGGCUUUGGCUUCAUGAGUCAAAAGCAAACCUCAGAUUUAAAAUAAAGCCACAUCCACACCCCGGUGCUGCAGGCUAUUGGGGACACCACAGUGAUGCCAGGAACACUGCACACCAUGCCAUCCUGCCCACCUGAGUCCUGCAGCUGGACUGGGAGCUGCUGCUGCCGCUCUGUGACAGGCCAUAUCAUUUAUUAUUAUUAUAUUUUUUAAAUUAAAAUCCUCCUGAGCUUUAUUAAAUAG
ensembl:lncRNA